AUGAGGAAAUCGGGCCUCAAAUUCUCACGCCAGUAUUCAUUGGAAUGCGAGGAUCCAUCUGGAGGUGUGAAGAUCUAUUUCCUGCCACCUGCACAGCGACAGGUUUUGAUGGAUUCCUCUGUAACGCUAACAUGUGUAGUGGUUAAUGCACCACUUCACGUCAACGUGACUUGGACACAAGGAAAUACACAUUUGCAGUCUGCAUAUGGGAAAACUUCUGCCACUGAACCUCAGAAAGUGAUCAGUAAAUUAAACAUUUCUGUAUCAGACUGGAACAGUGGUAAAGAAUACUUCUGUAUAGCCAGCCAUGAUGAUAUACCAUCUCCCAUCAGAGAGAAGACUUUUAAGAAGACAGUGGAGCACGUGAAACAACCUUCAGUGUAUCUCCUCCUCCCGUCGGCAGAAGAAUUGUCUGCUCAGCAGUCUGUCACCCUCACCUGCCUGGUGAAGGACUUCGCUCCCAAAGACAUCUUUGUGCAGUGGACUGAGAAUGACCAGGUGAUUGAUUACAGUAACUACAAGAACACUGAUGUGAUGCCAGACAGUGCAGAGCGCAACUACUCCAUGUACAGCAUGUUGUCCAUCUCAGCCGGAGACUGGGACAGAGGAAACUCCUACGCCUGUGUGGUCGGACAUGAAACUUACCCAUCGAAGACUCUGACCAGAUCCGUUAAUAAAUUCAGCGAUUUGCCAAACGAGAUGAUGCUGGAAGGAUUUCAAGAAGUUCAGUGUGACAACCUCUGGCCUACUGCUUCCACCUUCAUCAUCUUCUUCUUUUUUAACAUUUUCUACAGCGCUAUCGUAACUCUUUUUAAGGUAAAAUGA